UAAAGAGGAAGAUAAUUAGUGA
rnacentral:siRNA from 1 species